CCACCGUCUCCUCCGUAUCCACUAGCAUGGUAUGAGUCAUCUACAGGGGCUGUUUCAUCAACAGGAGGAUGCUUGUUCAAAUCUAGAAACGGGCUGUUUUGUUUUCCUUGUAUACUAGACACAACCUCCUCUUGCUCAUUAGAAUCGGGAACGCCAGACUCCUCCAAAAUAGACAACCGUAUCAUCAUUAGUAAAUAAUAAACUAAAACAACAAGUAAUUAAAACAUUUACGCUAAUAACUGUUACCGGAACGCUUUCGUGCCCCCACUUUUCGCUAGAAUACUGCCCGAAGAUAUAGUUGCCGUCCCAAUAUGAUGACAUUUCAACACUCCGGGAUGAUAAGAACGCAAAUACAAAUAAAAGAAGAAACAGAAUGUGAGUUGCAUUUUAUGUGA
rnacentral:lncRNA from 1 species